rnacentral:hammerhead_ribozyme from 1 species
ACACUGCUGAGGAGUCCCACAAUAAGACGAAACAACUGUCCAGUAC